UUUAUAUGAGAGUUUGAUCCUGGCUCAGGAUGAACGCUGGCGGCGUGCCUAAUACAUGCAAGUCGAACGAGUUCUGAUUAUUGAAAGGUGCUUGCAUCUUGAUUUAAUUUUGAACGAGUGGCGGACGGGUGAGUAACACGUGGGUAACCUGCCCUUAAGUGGGGGAUAACAUUUGGAAACAGAUGCUAAUACCGCAUAAAUCCAAGAACCGCAUGGUUCUUGGCUGAAAGAUGGCGUAAGCUAUCGCUUUUGGAUGGACCCGCGGCGUAUUAGCUAGUUGGUGAGGUAACGGCUCACCAAGGCAAUGAUACGUAGCCGAACUGAGAGGUUGAUCGGCCACAUUGGGACUGAGACACGGCCCAAACUCCUACGGGAGGCAGCAGUAGGGAAUCUUCCACAAUGGACGCAAGUCUGAUGGAGCAACGCCGCGUGAGUGAAGAAGGCUUUCGGGUCGUAAAACUCUGUUGUUGGAGAAGAAUGGUCGGCAGAGUAACUGUUGUCGGCGUGACGGUAUCCAACCAGAAAGCCACGGCUAACUACGUGCCAGCAGCCGCGGUAAUACGUAGGUGGCAAGCGUUAUCCGGAUUUAUUGGGCGUAAAGCGAGCGCAGGCGGUUUUUUAAGUCUGAUGUGAAAGCCCUCGGCUUAACCGAGGAAGUGCAUCGGAAACUGGGAAACUUGAGUGCAGAAGAGGACAGUGGAACUCCAUGUGUAGCGGUGAAAUGCGUAGAUAUAUGGAAGAACACCAGUGGCGAAGGCGGCUGUCUGGUCUGUAACUGACGCUGAGGCUCGAAAGCAUGGGUAGCGAACAGGAUUAGAUACCCUGGUAGUCCAUGCCGUAAACGAUGAAUGCUAGGUGUUGGAGGGUUUCCGCCCUUCAGUGCCGCAGCUAACGCAUUAAGCAUUCCGCCUGGGGAGUACGACCGCAAGGUUGAAACUCAAAGGAAUUGACGGGGGCCCGCACAAGCGGUGGAGCAUGUGGUUUAAUUCGAAGCAACGCGAAGAACCUUACCAGGUCUUGACAUCUUUUGAUCACCUGAGAGAUCAGGUUUCCCCUUCGGGGCAAAAUGACAGGUGGUGCAUGGUUGUCGUCAGCUCGUGUCGUGAGAUGUUGGGUUAAGUCCCGCAACGAGCGCAACCCUUAUGACUAGUUGCCAGCAUUUAGUUGGGCACUCUAGUAAGACUGCCGGUGACAAACCGGAGGAAGGUGGGGAUGACGUCAAAUCAUCAUGCCCCUUAUGACCUGGGCUACACACGUGCUACAAUGGAUGGUACAACGAGUUGCGAGACCGCGAGGUCAAGCUAAUCUCUUAAAGCCAUUCUCAGUUCGGACUGUAGGCUGCAACUCGCCUACACGAAGUCGGAAUCGCUAGUAAUCGCGGAUCAGCACGCCGCGGUGAAUACGUUCCCGGGCCUUGUACACACCGCCCGUCACACCAUGAGAGUUUGUAACACCCGAAGCCGGUGGCGUAACCCUUUUAGGGAGCGAGCCGUCUAAGGUGGGACAAAUGAUUAGGGUGAAGUCGUAACAAGGUAGCCGUAGGAGAACCUGCGGCUGGAUCACCUCCUUUCUAAGGAA
rnacentral:rRNA from 2 species